rnacentral:rRNA from 1 species
GAAGCACCGGCUAACUCCGUGCCAGCAGCCGCGGUAAUACGGAGGGUGCGAGCGUUAUCGGAAUUACUGGGCGUAAAGCGCAUGCAGGUGGAUGAUUAAGUCAGAUGUGAAAGCCCGGGGCUCAACCUCGGAAUAGCAUUUGAAACUGGUCAUCUAGAGUACUGUAGAGGGGGGUAGAAUUUCAGGUGUAGCGGUGAAAUGCGUAGAGAUCUGAAGGAAUACCGGUGGCGAAGGCGGCCCCCUGGACAGAUACUGACACUCAGAUGCGAAAGCGUGGGGAGCAAACAGGAUUAGAUACCCUGGUAGUCCACGCCGUAAACGAUGUCUACUUGGAGGUUGUGGCCUUGAGCCGUGGCUUUCGGAGCUAACGCGUUAAGUAGACCGCCUGGGGAGUACGGUCGCAAGAUUAAAACUCAAAUGAAUUGACGGGGGCCCGCACAAGCGGUGGAGCAUGUGGUUUAAUUCGAUGCAACGCGAAGAACCUUACCUACUCUUGACAUCCAUAGAACUUUCCAGAGAUGGAUUGGUGCCUUCGGGAACUAUGAGACAGGUGCUGCAUGGCUGUCGUCAGCUCGUGUUGUGAAAUGUUGGGUUAAGUCCCGCAACGAGCGCAACCCUUAUCCUUGUUUGCCAGCACUUCGGGUGGGAACUCCAGGGAGACUGCCGGUGAUAAACCGGAGGAAGGUGGGGACGACGUCAAGUCAUCAUGGCCCUUACGAGUAGGGCUACACACGUGCUACAAUGGCGCAUACAGAGGGCGGCCAACUUGCGAAAGUGAGCGAAUCCCAAAAAGUGCGUCGUAGUCCGGAUUGGAGUCUGCAACUCGACUCCAUGAAGUCGGAAUCGCUAGUAAUCGUGGAUCAGAAUGCCACGGUGAAUACGUUCCCGGGCCUUGUACACACCGCCCGUCACACCAUGGGAGUGGGCUGCAAAAGAAGUGGGUAGUUUAACCUUCGGGGGGACGCUCACC